rnacentral:rRNA from 1 species
AGGUAGGAAUACCCGUUGAACUUAAGCAUAUCAAUAAGCGGAGGAAAAGAAACCAACAGGGAUUGCCCUAGUAACGGCGAGUAAGCGGCAACAGCUCAAAUUUGAAAUCUGGCCUCGGCCCGAGUUGUAAUUUGCAGAGGAUGUUUCUGGCGCGGUGCCUUCCGAGUUCCCUGGAACGGGACGCCACAGAGGGUGAGAGCCCCGUAUGGUUGGACACCAAGCCUGUGUGAAACUCCUUCGACGAGUCGAGUAGUUUGGGAAUGCUGCUCAAAAUGGGAGGUAAAUCUCUUCUAAAGCUAAAUACCGGCCAGAGACCGAUAGCGCACAAGUAGAGUGAUCGAAAGAUGAAAAGCACCUUGAAAAGGGGGUUAAACAGUACGUGAAAUUGUUGAAAGGGAAGCGCUUGUGACCAGACUUGCGCCGGGCGGUUCAUCCGGGGUUCUCCCCGGUGCACUCCGCCCGGCUCAGGCCAGCAUCGGUUCUCGUUGGGGGAUAAGAACGACAGGAACGUGGCCCUCCUUCGGGUGGGUGUUAUAGCCUGUCGUACGAUACCCUGACGGGGACCGAGGUUCGCGCUCCGCAAGGAUGCGGCGAANGUCACAC